CCUAACACAUGCAAGUCGAACGAGAAAGGGUAGCAAUACCUGAGUAAAGUGGCGCACGGGUGAGUAACACGUGACUAACCUACCCUGGAGUGGGGGAUAACUGAGGGAAACCUUAGCUAAUACCGCAUAAUACCUACGGGUCAAAGGAGCAAUUCGCUUCAGGAGGGGGUCGCGGCCGAUUAGUUAGUUGGCGGGGUAAUGGCCCACCAAGACAGUGAUCGGUAUCCGGCCUGAGAGGGCGCACGGACACACUGGAACUGAAACACGGUCCAGACUCCUACGGGAGGCAGCAGUGGGGAAUUUUGCGCAAUGGGGGAAACCCUGACGCAGCAACGCCGCGUGGAGGAUGAAGUACUUCGGUACGUAAACUCCUUUCGAUCGGGACGAUAAUGACGGUACCGGAAGAAGAAGCCCCGGCUAACUUCGUGCCAGCAGCCGCGGUAAUACGAGGGGGGCAAGCGUUGUUCGGAAUUAUUGGGCGUAAAGGGUGCGUAGGCGGUUUGGUAAGUCUUUUGUGAAAUCUAUGGGCUCAACUCAUAGACUGCAAGGGAAACUGCCGGGCUUGAGUAUGGGAGAGGUGAGUGGAAUUCCUGGUGUAGCGGUGAAAUGCGUAGA
rnacentral:rRNA from 1 species